rnacentral:rRNA from 1 species
GUCUAGCCGUAAACUUUAAUUUACACAUCCAUCGCCCGGGAACUACGAGCUAAGCUUAAAACCCAAAGGACUUGACGGUACCCCACAUCCACCUAGAGGAGCCUGUCCUAUAAUCGAUAACCCCCGUUUAACCUCACCAUUUUUAGUUAAUCAGCCUGUAUACCUCCGUCGCCAGCUUACCUCGUGAGCGAAUUAUAGUGAGCUUAAUGGCAUUUCACCAGCACGUCAGGUCAAGGUGCAGCAAAUAAAAUGGGAAAGAGAUGGGCUACACUUUCUAAUAUAGAAGACACAAAAGACUAUCUAUGAAACCUAGUCAGAAGGCGGAUUUAGAAGUAAAAAGAAAUCAUAAUAUUCUUUUUAAUUGGGCACUGGGGUGUGUACACACCGCCCGUCACCCUCCUCAAAGCUAAAAAAUAGUAAUUAACUACAAUCUGCACUACAGAAGAGGCAAGUCGUAACAUGGUAAGUAUACCGGAAGGUGUGCUUGGAAUAAA